UACGUAGGGCGCAAGCGUUAUCCGGAAUUAUUGGGCGUAAAGAGCUCGUAGGCGGUUUGUCGCGUCUGCCGUGAAAGUCCGGGGCUCAACUCCGGAUCUGCGGUGGGUACGGGCAGACUAGAGUGAUGUAGGGGAGACUGGAAUUCCUGGUGUAGCGGUGAAAUGCGCAGAUAUCAGGAGGAACACCGAUGGCGAAGGCAGGUCUCUGGGCCACUACUGACGCUGAGAAGCGAAAGCAUGGGGAGCGAAACAGG
rnacentral:rRNA from 1 species